AUUUCGUUCGUGCAUCCGUGUUAACGCAAUGUUCUCCGCGGUAUGUGUGUUAUUCGUGAACGCAAUCGGAUCGAGUCCUCAUCAACGCAGUUUAACGCGACUGUAAGUAAAGGGAAGCAGCGGGCGCCUUCACCGGUGCGGCCCUCGGCGAUCGCUUUGUUUGUAUAUGUCGCGCGCACGGUUAAACUUUUGAUUACCGUGGUUGCGCGUUGUCGCAGUGCAAUGAUGAUUAUAUGCCAGUGCUCAUCGUGAAACUGCACAAACCGCGUCUCUACUGAUGGAGCUGCCACGUACGUACACGGCGGCGCCCGAGAAGACCUUUUCUGAAGAGAAUGCGCGCCUGGCGAUUGUCACUUGCAGUCGCAACUUUUGCAAAGAAAUGUCCCACAUCACAGCUCCCGUCAAACACUGUAGUGCCUUCUCCAAAGCUAUCUUCGGUAGCAAUACAUUUCCCUCAGAAGUGAAAUGAAGGUGCUUGAGUGGCAGCGGGCCUCCAUGGGGCGGUGCAGACAGGGGAGUGUCAUUGCUGGAGCACCUCCUGGCUAUCCACAGGAAAUGAAAAAAAAAACAUGCUGCUGACAUGUUCUCAUGAAGCCCAUGCCGACACAUGAAGCACAUCAUCCAGUCGCUGCUUGUGUUGAAGUUUGUAGUUGGAAUGCCC